CAGGCUGCAACUCGCCUCGCACGAAGUCGGAAUUGCUAGUAAUCGCGGAUCAGCAUGCCGCGGUGAAUACGUUCCCGGGCCUUGUACACACCGCCCGUCACACCAUGGGAGCCGGUAAUACCCGAAGUCAGUAGUCCAACCUCGUGAGGACGCUGCCGAAGGUAGGAUUGGCGACUGGGGUGAAGUCGUAACAAGGUAAC
rnacentral:rRNA from 1 species